AUUGAACGCUGGCGGCAGGCCUAACACAUGCAAGUCGAACGGUAACAGGAAGAAGCUUGCUUCUUUGCUGACGAGUGGCGGACGGGUGAGUAAUGUCUGGGAAACUGCCUGAUGGAGGGGGAUAACUACUGGAAACGGUAGCUAAUACCGCAUAACGUCGCAAGACCAAAGAGGGGGACCUUCGGGCCUCUUGCCAUCGGAUGUGCCCAGAUGGGAUUAGCUAGUAGGUGGGGUAACGGCUCACCUAGGCGACGAUCCCUAGCUGGUCUGAGAGGAUGACAGGCAACCCUGGAACUGGAACACGGUCCAGACCCCUACGGAAGGCAGCGGUGGGGAAUAUUGCACAAUGGGCGCAAGCCUGAUGAAGCCAUGCGGCGUGUAUGAAGAAGGCCUUCGGGUUGUAAAGUACUUUCAGCGGGGAGGAAGGGAGUAAGGUUAAUACCUUUGCUCAUUGACGUUACCCGCAGAAGAAGCACCGGCUAACUCCGU
rnacentral:rRNA from 1 species